rnacentral:ncRNA from 1 species
CUAUGUUAUUUAAUAUAACAUGGCGGAAGGAG